AGUGAACGCUGGCGGUAGGCCUAACACAUGCAAGUCGAACGGCAGCACAGAGGAGCUUGCUCCUUGGGUGGCGAGUGGCGGACGGGUGAGGAAUACAUCGGAAUCUACUCUGUCGUGGGGGAUAACGGAGGGAAACUUACGCUAAUACCGCAUACGACCUACGGGUGAAAGCAGGGGAACUUCGGACCUUGGGAGAUUGAAUGAGCCGAUGUCGGAUUAGCUAGUUGGCGGGGUAAAGGCCCACCAAGGCGACGAUCCGGAGCUGGUCUGAGAGGAUGAUCAGCCACACUUGAACUGGUACACGGUCCAGACUCCUACGGGAGGCAGCAGUGGUGAAUAUUGGACAAUGGGCGCAAUCCUGUUCCAGCCAUACCGCGUGGGUGAAGAAGGCCUUCGGGUUGUAAAGCCCUUUUGUUGGGAAAGAAAUCCAUCUGGUUAAUACCCGGGUGGGAUGACGGUACCCAAAGAAUAAGCACCGGCUAACUUCGUGCCAGCAGCCGCAGUAA
rnacentral:rRNA from 1 species